rnacentral:snoRNA from 1 species
AUACCAUGAUGUGGACACGUAACCAGCAAAUCCUUGAAUCUCUCCCCCGCUUCAUGGAGCGUCUCAGUUGGUCUCUGUUUGAAGCUUAAUAUCUCAUCAAUUUGCU